rnacentral:rRNA from 1 species
UAUGUGAUCGUCUCUCGCAUAUCAAUAAGCGGAGGAAAAGAAACUAACAAGGAUUCCCCUAGUAACGGCGAGUGAAGCGGGAAGAGCUCAAAUUUGAAAUCUUAAAGGGUUUCCCUUUACGAAUUGUAGUUUAAAGAAGUGUUUUCUGUUGAGGUUUUGGUAAAAGUUCUUUGGAAUAGGACAUCAUAGAGGGUGAGAAUCCCGUAUUUGACCUUUACUUUCAACUUUGUGAUACACUUUCAAAGAGUCGGAUUAGUUUGGGAAUGCAGUCCAAAAUGGGUGGUAAAUUUCAUCUAAAGCUAAAUAGUUGGCGAGAGACCGAUAGCGAACAAGUACCGUGAGGGAAAGAUGAAAAGAACUUUGAAAAGAGAGUUAAACAGUACGUGAAAUUGUCAAAAGGGAAGCGUUUGACACCAGUGUUGUUUUUCUGAAAAUCAAUUAAAGAACUGUUUAUGCUAAGCUGUUUAGACUUUAUCAGCUAAUCUGUUUAGUUUUGAGCUUUUCUUUAAUGCACUUUUCAGUUAACAAGUCAACAUCAAUUUCUUUUGCUGUAAAAAAGCUGAGGAAGGUGGCUUGAGAUUCGUCUUAAGUGUUUAUAGCCUCUUGCCUAUGCAGUCGGAGAGAUUGAGGUCUGCAGCGUAGAUCCUUCGGGGCUAAAUGCAUUUGUGCUAAGUUAUAGCAUUUUAUAGACAACUUGUUGACUAUGAUUUGUCUUGCAGCUUACUCGCUUAUGUUAUUUUACCUACGCUUAGGAUGUUGAGUCGUAGAGCACGCAG